UUCUCUCCUCCCCCGGUGUCCGCCCGCGUUUGGAGGAGUUCCUCGCAGAAAUCUCCAACUUUUGACAACGAGGAAGAAACUUCUAAGAAGCUGACCGAACGUUGGUGCCGCUGAGGUUCAGGGCAGCGUGAAGCUUCCUAACCCCGUAGGAGGACGAUCCCCAUCCCUCCCAGAUAACUUGGAAAUGCCAGUUAAGAGUAAUCUCUGUGACCAAAUCUUCAAAUUUUGGAUAUGGAGGAACCAUUUCCCACUCAAUCCUACCAAGACUGAACCCAGUCAGAUCUGAGAAUAUUCCUUCUUUGACCUUGGAUGGGGUAGCUUUAUACUCUUCAAGGUAGCUAAACAGUCUUCAGGUCUUCCUGGACUUACAAUUACUGCUAAAAGAGCAGUUAUCGGGCUGCUGACCUGUGGCCAUGAAGGCCUUUACAUAACUCCAUCUGAUGCACCAAUUGCACUCUUUCCCAAUUCAGAGGAUGUUUCAGACAAUCAUCGCGCCUUAUUGCCUUGUGGCUUGAUUACUGUACACAGUUUACAUGGGUGUGCCCUUGAAGACCUGGAAGCUUCAUGUGGUCCUGAAUGCAACAAUGUGAACAGCAGUGGACAUGACUUGCUAUGCCCAUGUGACACUUCUGUUCCAAGAGCUGUACUGGUUGUUGGUUCAUCAUAUUUGCCAUCUUUUAUCCUUAUACUUGUACAGUAUGUUUAAUUGAUUUUAGUGUAAUAUUUUUGUUGUGGGCCGUUCAAAGUCAUUCAACUACAAUUGGUAACACACUGCUAGAUUGGAUCUGGCAUUUUUGUUCUCUUACGAAGUCUUUCCUAAGCACCUGGGAUUGUCAGAAGGUGUUGUUUAAUAAUAUUUAAAAUAUUGUUGCAGGACAUGAACUGUUCCAAGUGAAGCUGCCUUUUGCAAUUGACUGAUGAUGAUGUUGUCAAUGCCAAUGAUGUUCAAAUGGUGUUCCAAAAGUUUUGGAAUUGCACUCAAGGUGGCUAUUACAAUUGGUAUUAUUUUUGUCUCGUUUUGCCAUAGUUCUAUUUGCAGAUCUUUAUAUUUUGUUGAUUUCUCCAAAUCUUUCUCUAUUUUUUUUUUGUUGUCUCUAUGUAUUGCAAUGUUUACUAUUUAAUUAACAAUUGGAUAGAUAGUAAUUGGUAAUUGUUAAUCUUGUGCAUUGUGUGGCAGACACUUGUCUUCUCAAUUCUGGCUUUGUAUGCAUUUUUCUUAAGAUGUGGUCUUGUGCAGCCAGAAUUGGCCUGUUUCUUUCUUCAACUUUCCUGUUCCAUUGCCAGAUCUUCUUGUUAUCUGCUUGGCCUGCUUUUUUUUUUUUUUUUAAUGUACUGGCCAUGUUAUCUUUUGCCUUGCCAAGUCUCAUUUUGUCUUUCUUGGAGGCCUGUUGGGUCUCUCCAGUAAUCAGUAAGCCUUCAUGGUGUACUAACUUCAGUGCAUUUUUUUCACAGUCCUUGAGAUAGUCUUCCAAUGCCCUUUUUUCUUUUUAGACUGUCUUGUGUAUUUACAACCUUCCACACCCACUUAUUUUCCUUGGUAAGUAUUGUCUGUCAACAUUGCUGCAUGUAUAAAGAGUAUGAUUCAUCGUCACUGUUUUUCUGAUCUUCCUAUCCAAGGCUAUUCAUUCUCUUUGAGUCCACUCCACUGUUGCUCAGAUGGAAAUUUUGUCAAUGCAAAGAUUUUCUAAUUGCCGUUUAAGAUUUUUUAGUAUGACACUCAGGGUUGCUAUUGUAGCACAUUUCUCUAGGCCAAAUUCCAUUGCUAUAUUUGUGCUAAAUUUCUUACAAUGUUUGUCAAGAUUUGUUUUCUUUGAUAGCCAAGUUUUGUUUUCUUAAAUCAUUGAAAUUGCCAACAUAUUAUUAUUACAGGGCCUAGCUUCUUAAAUUUGGCUCAGAAAUGCAUUCAUUAUCACAAAAUGGGUAUUAAAUGAUUUUGUCUACGAAGAAAAAUAAGUGGGUUACAUUGAGAGACAAUUGAAAUGUUCAAAUCUCUCUGAAAGUAUCCCAUGAAUACUAUCAUCUUCUUCCCUUAGCAAUAAAGGUGAAAACUAGUAGCAGUCAAAAAUAA